rnacentral:lncRNA from 1 species
AGAUGAACACAUAUUGCACAAGCAUUGAUAAUAUAUUCACAAACAUACAUAUACUGAUCAUAAGUUCAAAAACAGGACAAUCUUGACAAAGCAAAGUUUGGCCAUUUGACCACCAUCCAGCAAACACAAGCCACAUAAAAGGACCACUAUUUGUUGUUCUGCAGGAGUUCAAACACUAAAUGGUACAGAACAAAGUCACACCCAUGAGCACAAGAUAUAUGCUCCAAAACACUUCAAGCACCAAAUGGUCUAGAACAGACAUAAGAUUCAUGAUCACAAGUUGGCUGGUCCAAAAUACUGUAACAGCCAAAUGCUGCCGAACACCCUGAAGUCAUCACAUCCAUGUGCAAUAGAUGGUUGAGUACCUGAAAAUGAAUGGUCAAAUUCUCAUAUGUUCACCCCAACGAUUUUGUGCACUUCAAAGUUUGAAAAUAAAUGUCAAAAACAAAUGUAGUCGUAUGUUGUCUAAUGAACUAGAAUUAAAAUGUAUAGCUUCAGACCAAAAAAAACUGUAGUAUGUGAAGUUCUGCAUAUGCCAUGUGAUCUUUAGAUUGUGACCAUCAAAGUGUUAACACCAAACUAAUAGAUGUAUGCUAACUACUAAGCAAUUUAUAUGAGCAUCAGAUUACGUCAUGUGAUUUCAUAUUUUUAAUUUUAAAACUGCAGUAUGUGGAGUUCAUUUUUAUAUUCAAGACACGAAAAGUUAUCUAGUGAUACUAUAAUUUCACAAAUAGGUUUUACAAUUUCAGAUACACUGAAGUGUUAUGUGUGACACAUUUUCCUCGCUUGCCAUUUGGUUUACUCUGGCGUAUGAUAGUUAAUCCAUGUACUAGUGUUCUUAGUUCAAUAUUAUCUGAUCGAUAAACUAGCUAAAUGACACGAAAAUCAGUCUUGGAGCAUUUGUGUGUUCAUCAAAAAUGAAAAGGGGUCCACAAGACAACUAUGGAAAAUGGUUCAUGGGUUGUACAUAUUAUCUGUAAAUCAAAUGAUAACAUACUCACAUCGCUUGUUUCUUAUGCAAACUAUUUUAGUUCAUAGGCUGCUUCUUCCACUGCACGUUGCUCUGAAAAGUGUGAAUACAUGUGUCAACCACCCUGUGAAGACGAAAACUAUGUUUAAUAAUAUAGAUAACUCGGCUGAUCCUAAAUCAAAUUAGAAACUAGGCCAAGGGACUGCAAGUUAUGUCCUUGGUAAGUUUAUUGUAUGAACUUUUCAAAUGCACAAAUGAUUUUCAGGUAAUAUUAGGACAUCACCAGAAUAAACACGAAUAUCUCACAACAUUCUAGGAUUUACCUGCAUAUGGAAACAGAGAGCUCAAAUUAGGAGGGUAGUGAACAUCAUCAGACAACUUACUUGAUAUCAAAUAUAUGACUCGUAUCUGACCGUUUAAUGGUCCUGUGAUGGUAACACAAAUGGAGAUUCUACUUAACACCAGUACUUAUUACCACAAAUAGUCAGGCAGUAGUAUCUGACACAUAAAUAUAUCUAUCUUCUAUCUCAUCUGGAGAUACGUGCAUUACAUACUACUUUU